rnacentral:rRNA from 1 species
GACAGAGGAUGCAAGCGUUAUCCGGAAUGAUUGGGCGUAAAGCGUCUGUAGGUGGUUCAAUAAGUCAACUGUUAAAUCUUGAGGCUCAACCUCAAAAUCGCAGUCGAAACUAUUGGACUCGAGUAUAGUAGGGGUAAAGGGAAUUUCCAGUGGAGCGGUGAAAUGCGUAGAGAUUGGAAAGAACACCAAUGGCGAAAGCACUUUACUGGGCUAUUACUGACACUGAGAGACGAAAGCUAGGGUAGCAAAUGGG